UACAUGGGGUGCAAACGUUGCUCGGAAUUAUUGGGCGUAAAGCGCACGUAGGCGGUUUGUUAAGUCGGAUGUGAAAUCCCCAGGCUCAACUUGGGAACUGCAUCCGAUACUGGAUGGCUUGAAUUCGGGAGAGGGAUGCAGAAUUCCAGGUGUAGCGGUGAAAUGCGUAGAUAUCUGGAGGAACACCGGUGGCGAAGGCGGGUCUCUGGGCCGUAACUGACGCUGAGGAGCGAAAGCAUGGGGAGCGAACAGG
rnacentral:rRNA from 1 species